rnacentral:rRNA from 1 species
CUUACCAUGCAAGUCGAACGGUGAAGCCCAGCUUGCUGGGUGGAUCAGUGGCGAACGGGUGAGUAACACGUGAGCAACCUGCCCCUGACUCUGGGAUAAGCGCUGGAAACGGCGUCUAAUACUGGAUAUGUACCACGAUCGCAUGGUCUGUGGUUGGAAAGAUUUUUCGGUUGGGGAUGGGCUCGCGGCCUAUCAGCUUGUUGGUGAGGUAAUGGCUCACCAAGGCGUCGACGGGUAGCCGGCCUGAGAGGGUGACCGGCCACACUGGGACUGAGACACGGCCCAGACUCCUACGGGAGGCAGCAGUGGGGAAUAUUGCACAAUGGGCGCAAGCCUGAUGCAGCAACGCCGCGUGAGGGAUGACGGCCUUCGGGUUGUAAACCUCUUUUAGCAGGGAAGAAGCGAAAGUGACGGUACCUGCAGAAAAAGCGCCGGCUAACUACGUGCCAGCAGCCGCGGUAAUACGUAGGGCGCAAGCGUUAUCCGGAAUUAUUGGGCGUAAAGAGCUCGUAGGCGGUUUGUCGCGUCUGCUGUGAAAUCCGGAGGCUCAACCUCCGGCCUGCAGUGGGUACGGGCAGACUAGAGUGCGGUAGGGGAGAUUGGAAUUCCUGGUGUAGCGGUGGAAUGCGCAGAUAUCAGGAGGAACACCGAUGGCGAAGGCAGAUCUCUGGGCCGUAACUGACGCUGAGGAGCGAAAGGGUGGGGAGCAAACAGGCUUAGAUACCCUGGUAGUCCACCCCGUAAACGUUGGGAACUAGUUGUGGGGUCCAUUCCACGGAUUCCGUGACGCAGCUAACGCAUUAAGUUCCCCGCCUGGGGAGUACGGCCGCAAGGC